rnacentral:lncRNA from 1 species
GAGAUUCAGAGGAGAACUCACAAACAAGAGGUUGCCUUCUGUCCAGCCCUAGUAUGAGGCUUGCUGUAGGCUGUUAUGUAAGACAAAUGAAAGCUGAACGCAGACUGGCAGAAGAAGGACUGGCUUGUGGAAGAGCAAUCGGUGAGGCAGCCGAGGACACAUGCGCAGUUAACCUUUCCAAAAAAACAUGGUCGUGGAAGGAAGAGCCAGAGUUUCUGCAAACCUAGAGGACAGGGCUGCUGAGAAGCUAAAGCUCUGACGGUGGAGAUGGUUUUGCUCAGACAAACUUUAUUACCAGCACCAAUGAGGGGAACCGAGAAUUCUGAGCCACUGUAGCUGACAUCACAGAACUCCAGCUGCUCUGUGGACUGUAUCCUUUUCUACCUCUGUCCUUAAAAGCUAUUGGAGCCCUUAUUAAAAAAAAAAAAACUGCUGCUGUGUACUUAGAGAGCAACUCUUAUUUCGAGUGAUUCUUUUACCUGAUAAGGCAUUUGGAUAUUUAUUCCUCUAACUCGACUCCAAUCCCCCUAUCUUUUUCGUGUUUUCCCAGGUAAAGAGGAAAAAUCUCCAAUCCACUCCCAUCUGUUUGCCUCAUCCAGCAGAGCUUCCAGGCCACAGAAGGCUCAAGACUACAAUAUAAUUCCUGAGACUGCCAAGACCUUGGGUGCUGAUGGCUUCUCGUGGAUGAGGAGAAAACAACAGGACCACUGGAUUAGGGCUUGUUACAGCCCAACUCUCCCGCUUCUUGCUUCUUGCUUCUUGCUUCUUACUAAAUAAUGGAUCAAUGACUGCCCGGCAGAAUUAGCCUUUCAAUUGACUUUUGUCUUUCGCCCAUCAUUUUCAAAGCUCAUCUCCCAUGGGGAAGACUGAAAGAAGGAGUCUACACUGAGGGAACAGAAGUCCUCUUGUGGCUUGAGGUUGCUUUAUUCUACUGCCCAAGGAAGGACAACAGGGACCCCUGUGCACUUCGCUUGGUUAUGACAAAAUUUCCAUUCUUCUAGCCUUUGUUUUGUCCCAUGGUAGCCUAUAUAUCAUAUCUAUAGAGCAUAGAGGCAUAAGCCCCCCCUUUGCUGUAAUUGGCCUAAAAGUCUUCACAUGAAGAGCCAUCAGCUCAUAUUUGCAUGCUCCAUUUACUCCAAUAAUGUCUUCCACAUUAUUGUUUUACAAUUAAUUUCAUAAUUAAUAAGGUUGCAAUUUAGAAUCCUUAUAAAAGUACAGGGAGAGGUUUAGAGAUGAAACUGUUCAAAACAGUACCGUAUGUAUUUUAGCUUCACUGGAGCAAAGAGGAAAUUGCCUGUUUCUUCCAGCUUGUUUCAGUGUCCUAGGGCAGGGGCAGAAUGUAAGUGAUCACGAAGUGCUUUUGCUUAUUGCCACUUGGAAACUGGCAAUACUGCUGUGAAGAGAUGAAUAUCAGUUCCAAGCAAGAGGCUGGGUAGUUUCCUUCUGUAAUCCCACACCAGUGUGUGAGUCAGAGUUAGAACCAGAAUCGUUCUAAAGGCGAAUUUGUGCAUCUGAAGCAACCUCAUGUUAUACCCAUUUGGUGAUUCAUGACAGAGAUGGAGUCUCAUUAAUAAGGAUUAUUUAUCCAAAGCCUUACUAAAAGCAUGUGAAACAGCUUUAAGACAGGACCUCAGGUAGCCCAGGCUAUUGUGGAGCUCACUCUGUGGCCAAUCAAGAUCUCCUAAUUUUCCUGUCUCAGCUCCCAAAUGCUGACACUUUAGAUAUGCAACACCAUGUUCAGGUUGAAAAACAAAAUCUUAUUAAAUAAAUUACUUAUGUCGAAAUCUCA